GGACACCGUAACUUCUUUCCAAUGUCUUCCUCCUUUCUUCCUCUUUUCUUCCUAACAUCUCCAUACCGAAGACCUGAUAUGAGAUCAGAUCUAAGAGAGAAAAAGAGAGAGAAGAAGAGAAGAAGAAAGAUUUCUUUUUCUUUCUUGGUGAUCUGGUUCAAAUCCUGUUGAAUCUGUGCAAAGGAGUUCGCGUAGCAAUCUUCUUCUUUGAGAUCUAGAAGAAGAGAUGCAGAACCAAAGCUGAGGAGCGAGAUCUGCAAGAUGCUAGCACAUCAGUAAUUUCGAUGCUCUGAUUAGACUUCUUCGUGUGGAUACCAGUA
rnacentral:lncRNA from 1 species